UACAGAGGUCCCAAGCGUUGUUCGGAUUCACUGGGCGUAAAGGGUGCGUAGGCGGUCGGGUAAGUCUGUCGUGAAAUCUCCGAGCCCAACUCGGAAACUGCGUCGGAUACUAUUCGGCUAGAGGAAUGGAGGGGAGACUGGGAAUUCUCGGUGUAGCAGUGAAAUGCGUAGAUAUCGAGAGGAACACCAGUGGCGAAGGCGAGUCUCUGGACAUUUCCUGACGCUGAGGCACGAAAGCCAGGGGAGCAAACGGG
rnacentral:rRNA from 1 species